rnacentral:rRNA from 1 species
UUAACGCGAAGAACCUUACCAGGUCUUGACAUCUUCUGCUAACCUAAGAGAUUAGGCGUUCCCUUCGGGGACGGAAUGACAGGUGGUGCAUGGUUGUCGUCAGCUCGUGUCGUGAGAUGUUGGGUUAAGUCCCGCAACGAGCGCAACCCUUAUUGUCAGUUGCCAGCAUUUAGUUGGGCACUCUGGCGAGACUGCCGGUGACAAACCGGAGGAAGGUGGGGAUGACGUCAAAUCAUCAUGCCCCUUAUGACCUGGGCUACACACGUGCUACAAUGGACGGUACAACGAGUCGCGAAACCGCGAGGUCAAGCUAAUCUCUUAAAGCCAUUCUCAGUUCGGACUGUAGGCUGCAACUCGCCUACACGAAGUUGGAAUCGCUAGUAAUCGUGGAUCAGC